GCGCGGCUGCAGUCCUCCAAAACCAGCUUCUGGGGCUUUGGAGCAGAGAGAGGGAGUGCGGCGUUCUCCCAGGAGAGCACGGCGAGCAGAGGACGCUCCGCCAGGGCAUGACUGUCUGAAGGAACCGAGGACGGGUGGGAGAGAGAGAGAGCCUUCCCCUCGCUGAGCGGAAAAGGGCGAGAAUUCCUUAACUCGGUCCUGCUCGGAGAGCUAGCGGCGUUACCUUCUGGGCUAACAAGACUUGGACCUCCGAGUUUUUGGCCAGGCUGCGCAGCAUGCAGGAUCUCAGUUCCCUGACCAGGGGUCGAACCCGCACCCCCUGCAUUGGAAGCGUGGAGUCUUAACCACUGGACCGCCAGGGAAGUCCCUAGGACUUAACAUCUUAUUUGAAUUAAGAUGGGUUCCUAAGUCUUUAAAUUCUUUUUAGUUUGCUUUUCAAACCAGUGGUCUGGUUAUUCACUUAAUGUUGUAUAUUAAUAGGACAGUCACCAGAGAAUGAAGAAUCAUGCACAUGCCUGUCAUACAAAGUUGUCAUGAGGAAGGGUGUCAGAGUUGAAAAGGACCAAGAUCUAAUGACCGAGUAACCUGUGGAAGAAAUCCAAACUUGGAUGAACGUUUAGGCAUUCCAGAUUUGUGGGAAUGAGUUUAACCAUCCUGAUGGGUGUGAGGCCCAGAAAAUUGUCAUUCUUGACCUGUAUAGCAGUUCCCUGGAAACCCUCACUUAUAGGGCUUGUCUUUAUUUGACCUGAUUCAGAGCUCUCUCAGGUCAAAUAGCCUUUUAAAAAAUAAUUGGUGACAACUGUUUAACAUCACAGCUGCCCGAGGUGGUGAUAACAGCUGGAGCAAACAAGAAGUUGACCAACAAUCAUGAAAAACUGGGAAUAAGAUAUCCAGAGGGACCUUGAAAAGCUCUGACAUAUUUCUGGGAAUCUGGAAGGCCAUAUGCAUGUGCAAGUGCAGGGCUGCAAGCAUGCCAAGGAAAGAACUGAGAAGGCCCUAAGCUUUCAACUCUGGGUGAUUUUUUUUUAUUGGAGUAUAGUUGAUUUACAGUGUUGUGUUAGUUUCAGGUGUACAGCAGAGUGAAUCAGUUAUACAUAUAUCCACUCUUUUUUAGGUUCUUUUCCCAUAUAGGCCAUUACAGAGUACUGAGUAGAGUUCCCUGUGCUAUACAGUA